UCCUACGGGGGGCAGCAGUGAGGAAUAUUGGUCAAUGGGCGCAAGCCUGAACCAGCCAAGUCGCGUGAGGGAAGACGGCCCUACGGGUUGUAAACCUCUUUAGGCGGGGAGCAAUGCCGGGCACGCGUGUCCGGAGGGAGAGUACCCGCAGAAUAAGCAUCGGCUAACUCCGUGCCGGCAGCCGCGGUAAUACGGAGGAUGCGAGCGUUAUCCGGAUUUAUUGGGUUUAAAGGGUGCGUAGGCGGAUUUUUAAGUCAGCGGUAAAAUGUCCGGGCUCAACCCGGGCCGGCCGUUGAAACUGGGGG
rnacentral:rRNA from 1 species